GCCCGCUUGGUGGAACCGGUAGACACAACAGACUUAAAAUCUGUCGGCCUUUGGCUGUGCCAGUUCGAGUCUGGCAGCGGGCACCA
rnacentral:tRNA from 1 species